rnacentral:rRNA from 1 species
CAGCACCUCAAGUGGUCAGGAUGAUUAUUGGGCCUAAAGCAUCCGUAGCCGGCGCCGUAAGUUUUCGGUUAAAUCUGUACGCUCAACGUACAGGCUGCCGGGAAUACUGCAGCGCUAGGGAGUGGGAGAGGUAGACGGUACUCGGUAGGAAGGGGUAAAAUCCUUUGAUCUAUUGAUGACCACCUGUGGCGAAGGCGGUCUACCAGAACACGUCCGACGGUGAGGGAUGAAAGCUGGGGGAGCAAACCGGAUUAGAUACCCGAGUAGUCC